ACACCGGCGGCCCGAGUGGUGAUCGUGAUUAUUGGGUCUAAAGGGUCCGUAGCCGGUUUGGUCAGUCCUCCGGGAAAUCUGAUAGCUCAACUAUUAGGCUUUCGGGGGAUACUGCCAGACUUGGAACCGGGAGAGGUAAGAGGUACUACAGGGGUAGGAGUGAAAUCUUGUAAUCCCUGUGGGACCACCUGUGGCGAAGGCGUCUUACCAGAACGGGUUCGACGGUGAGGGACGAAAGCUGGGGGCACGAACCGGAUUAGAUACCCGGGUAGUCCCAGCCGUAAACGAUGCUCGCUAGGUGUCAGGCAUGGCGCGACCGUGUCUGGUGCCGCAGGGAAGCCGUGAGGCGAGCCACCUGGGAAGUACGGCCGCAAGGCUGAA
rnacentral:rRNA from 1 species